UGAGUAACACGUAUCCAACCUGCCGUCUACUCUUGGACAGCCUUCUGAAAAGAAGAUUAAUACAAGAUGGCAUCAUGAGUUCACAUGUUCACAUGAUUAAAGGUAUUCCGGUAGACGAUGGGGAUGCGUUCCAUUAGAUAGUAGGCGGGGUAACGGCCCACCUAGUCUUCGAUGGAUAGGGGUUCUGAGAGGAAGGUCCCCCACAUUGGAACUGAGACACGGUCCAA
rnacentral:rRNA from 1 species